rnacentral:rRNA from 1 species
CUCGGUGAUUAAGUCCGGAGUGACCUACCCGAUCCAUCCCGAACUCGGAAGUAAAAGCUCCGGAUCUCGAUGAUACUGCGCCUCGAGCGUGGGACAGUAGAGUUUGCCGGGA